rnacentral:rRNA from 1 species
UGGGGAAUUUUGGACAAUGGGGGAAACCCUGAUCCAGCCAUCCCGCGUGUGCGAUGAAGGCCUUCGGGUUGUAAAGCACUUUUGGCAGGAAAGAAACGUCAUGGGUUAAUACCCCGUGAAACUGACGGUACCUGCAGAAUAAGCACCGGCUAACUACGUGCCAGCAGCCGCGGUAAUACGUAGGGUGCAAGCGUUAAUCGGAAUUACUGGGCGUAAAGCGUGCGCAGGCGGUUCGGAAAGAAAGAUGUGAAAUCCCAGAGCUCAACUUUGGAACUGCAUUUUGAACUACCGGGGUAGAGUGUGGCAGAGGGGGGUGGAAUUCCGAGUGUAGAAAUGAAAUGCGUAGAUAUGCGGAGGAACACCGAUGGCGAAGGCAGCCUACUGGGAUAAAAGUGACGGUCAGGAACGGAGGCGUGGGGAGCAAACAGG